rnacentral:rRNA from 1 species
UACGUAGGGAGCAAGCGUUGUUCGGAUUUACUGGGCGUAAAGGGCGCGUAGGCGGCCUGUCAAGUCAACUGUGAAAUCUCCGGGCUUAACUCGGAACGGUCAGUUGAUACUGUCAGGCUAGAGUGCAGAAGGGGCAAUCGGAAUUCUUGGUGUAGCGGUGAAAUGCGUAGAUAUCAAGAGGAACACCUGAGGUGAAGACGGGUUGCUGGGCUGACACUGACGCUGAGGCGCGAAAGCCAGGGGAGCAAAC